rnacentral:rRNA from 1 species
AUGGGCCGUCUAGGACAUCCGCGAUGGCCGGGUCCUCCUCGUCGGCAAGCAAAACAUGAUGGCCGAGGGGCCCUCGAUCUUGAUGUUCUCGGAGCUUGUGGUGUGCGACCCCUUGCACCGGCGGUACAUCCUGCUUCCCCAGUGCCUGGUGGCCUAGUGGCAUCGGUGGAGAGCCAAGACGACGAAUUUUUAGGGUGGUCUUGCGAGCCUAGCCUCAUUCCACUCAGCGAUGUGGAGGCUGCCCUGGCGGAAGAGAUAGCGUUCAGAGUGAUCUGGUCGGCAUGUUGCAAAACCAAUAUGGUCGUGUUUGUCUUCUCUUCUAGCACUGGGCAAUGGCAAGCCGCUGCAUCCCAGGCCUGCAUGGACAGGGAGCCUUUGUAUUUUAUCAGGCGCCAUUUGGUGGGUGGCUGCGUCUACUGGGUCUUGCCGAUGAAUAAGACAGAUUUGCUCGUGCUUGACACCAGGACAAUGUAG